AACAACAUGAUCCGAUGGUCAGAAACUAAUUAAAGGCAUGAUCGGAUGGUUGACAAUUGAUCCAACUUUGAUAACGAAUACAACUCUAUUUUUUUGGGCAGAUCUGGGUGGUCUAAGCUCCAUCCGAUGGCCAAAAAAAUUUCUAAGUGUUUAAUACGAAUUCUAACAAUUCUAGGACUCCUUUUCCUACCAAAAAAAUAUAAAAAAUUUACCUAUAAAUAGGGGGUCUGGGAAUAAAGAAAAAUUUAGUGAAAAGGGUAGAAAAAAAUAGAGAAAGAUAUUAUAUAGCUUUAGGGACCCA
rnacentral:lncRNA from 1 species